GACGAACGCUGGCGGCGUGCUUAACACAUGCAAGUCGAACGAAGAGCGAUGGAUGCUUGCUUCUAUCAAUCUUAGUGGCGAACGGGUGAGUAACGCGUAAUCAACCUGCCCUUCAGAGGGGGACAACAGUUGGAAACGACUGCUAAUACCGCAUACGAUCUAAUCUCGGCAUCGAGGAUAGAUGAAAGGUGGCCUCUACAGGUAAGCUAUCACUGAAGGAGGGGAUUGCGUCUGAUUAGCUAGUUGGAGGGGUAACGGCCCACCAAGGCGAUGAUCAGUAGCCGGUCUGAGGGGAUGAACGGCCACAUUGGGACUGAGACACGGCCCAGACUCCUACGGGAAGCAGCAGUGGGGAAUCUUCCGCAAUGGACGAAAGUCUGACGGAGCAAAGCCGCGUGAGUGAUGACGGCCUUCGGGUUGUAAAGCUCUGUUAAUCGGGACGAAAGGCCUUCUUGCGAAUAGUGAGAAGGAUUGACGGUACCGGAAUAGAAAGCCACGGCUAACUACGUG
rnacentral:rRNA from 1 species